GGAGGGCAGGUCCGAGCCGGAGUAGGCUCUGGUUCGGCCGUUCGCAGCCGGCCCAGCGGGGGGGCCGCUCUGCUUUGCCCCCAUGUUGACCUCCACUGAUUCGGCUUUCAAAUAGUAAAGCUCCGCUGCGGGACAGUGCGCCAGAUGGCUGCGGGACACCCGGAGGCAGCAGCUACGAUCCCAUGGAGGUGAGCGCAGUGUCUGUCAGAGCCAAGUGGAACGGCACAGGUUCGACUUCUGUGAGGGAAACUUUACCCGCCGUCACCAUCGUCCUCCGUCAGUCCCGGUCGUGGUCGUGCUGCGGAUACCGCGGGUGGUUCCUCCGAGCCGCUGUGCUCCGGCCGCUGCUCCCUCCUCAGUGGCCGCUCCGCCAUGGCUCCUGAGCGGGGAGAGGGAGCGGAGAGCAGGGCUCCUCACACCUCCGACACAUGGCUUUAGAGAAGGAGGUGAUGGAGGAGAAGGUCCGGCAUCGAACCGUGUGAUCGGUGGCCGCGGGCAGACUGUAUGAGCAGGUUAGCUGUCAAGCCACCUGAGCUCGCCAGGGUUUCCGGGGAGGAUUUUCAAAAUAAAGGCACUGCAGUGUUUCAAGAGAGCAGACAUGCAGUGAACUCCACAUACUCUCCUGAGGGGCCAUGUGUGAACGCAGAUAUGUGGACUUCCUCCAGCCGUACCCCAGGUAUAAAGUCUGCAGGAUGUCUGAAGGAGCCAAUGUGAGAACACAGCGGGAGAUCCUCCGCAGGAUUCACUGUGAGCAAGCGGGUCGGCUGUGGCUGAGGGGGUCGUCCUCUGACUAGAUGGGGGUUUGAACCCAGUCUUCCCCAUCUGCAUGCCGAAGGGUCCUUGGGCAAGAUACUGAAGCCUAUCUCGUAAAAAAAGUGCUGCCCAUAGACACACUGUAUGAAUGUUUGUGUGAAUGGCAAAAGUGCUAUAUAAAUUAGACCAUUUAUACAAGAUUUAUCUCAACCACACAGCAGUUUAGCUGUUCUUCUUUUCAGUCUCUGCAUAUUGUUCAACCCACAGACUCUAUGGGCGAGACCUUGCACACAAUAACCUUGCAGUGCUCAUAUGUUUGGUGAACGGUGAACUGAAUGGAUCAGUCUGCAAAUACUGAACUCGAACCUGUGCAUCGUUUAUUGCACGAGACUGAACGGCACUCGCCUUUUAUGGCAACGUAAAAUUAAAGAUUUUAUUUCUGUUUUACAAAUCUUAAAAAGUUGGAGUGAACUUCCCGUAUGAAAACAUACGGUCGUAGCCCAUAACCUCCUGCAUCCAUAGCACAACAUCUGAAUAUUAUCUGUGCCAUGUUUUCGUCUUAUAUAGUUAAGCAGAGCAUUGUAAGGGAGGUCUUAACGGUCACCACCAUUCAACUGGGAGAAGAAGAAGAUGAUAUUUAUUGUGAUAAUCAUGAAUAUCAACUGAAUCUACAAAAAAGGGUGCAACAUUGUUUGUCAACGGUACCUUACGACGAAAUAAAAAUCGUUUUGAAAAAGCAA